AUUGAACGCUGGCGGCAGGCCUAACACAUGCAAGUCGAACGGUAACAGGAAGAAGCUUGCUUCUUUGCUGACGAGUGGCGGACGGGUGAGUAAUGUCUGGGAAACUGCCUGAUGGAGGGGGAUAACUACUGGAAACGGUAGCUAAUACCGCAUAACGUCGCAAGCCCAAAAAGGGGGACCUUCGGGCCUCUUGCCAUCGGAUGUGCCCAGAUGGGAUUAGCUAGUAGGUGGGGUAACGGCUCACCUAGGCGACGAUCCCUAGCUGGUCUGAGAGGAUGACCAGCCACACUGGAACUGAGACACGGUCCAGACGCCUACGGGAGGCAGCAGUGGGGAAUAUUGCACAAUGGGCGCAAGCCUGAUGCAGCCAUGCCGCGUGUAUGAAGAAGGCCUUCGGGUUGUAAAGUACUUUCAGCGGGGAGGAAGGGAGUAAAGUUAAUACCUUUGCUCAUUGACGUUACCCGCAGAAGAAGCACCGGCUAACUCCGUG
rnacentral:rRNA from 1 species